CAGGAGUACAAUCAAUUUCUUGAGGGUAGAGCAUGUUUCUGACACAUCUUAGCAUCUCUGAGUGCCAGAAAAAAUAGGUGCUUACCAUCAGGAUCAGGAUCCAUCAGGGUAGUCUACAGCUGGUGGCAUGGCAAGAAAGAGGAGGCUGCAGAGACUGAACAAACAGCAUGCACUGUGGUAUCCUUUAUUUAAAAAUUGUGAGCUAACUACAGUUGUAGUGUUCUCAUUUACCAUUCUGAUGGCAUAAUAAACUGCGAGAACAUUAACACAAUUUCAAGACAUUAAAAAUCUGUAACAAACACACCACACAUGCACACACACACACAACAUACAUGCACACAAA